rnacentral:lncRNA from 1 species
ACACCGUUAAAUAUGAUCUAGGAUAUAUGAAGUUCCUACGAAUAAAAUUUUAGUUUUUUUCGACAUCGUUUACUUAGUAAAUAAAUUAUGUCAAAAUGGACGGUAGAAAUUGAAUAAUCUUUAAAAUUUGAGUAUAGGACUUUUAAAUUCAAGAUCAAGAAUGUUAACCUUAAUCUAGAUAAUUUAAAGUAUUUUCUAUCAAAAUUUGAAGAAAUUUAGAUUUUUCUAUACCGUUAAACUCCAAACUCGCUAUAGUAGCCAUUGAAAAUUGACAAUUUUGAAAUGGUUUGAUCAUAAAGUAAACUAUGUCGAAAAAAUAUAAAAUUUUAUUUGUAAAAACUUUGAAUACCCUAUAUCAGUUUUAACGGUGUGAAUCGUUGAUUUGAACACCCUAAGAUCGAAAACGAGACUAUAGUACCGGAGUCCCGGUACUAUAGAUAGUAUAGGAGACUAGCUCUAUAUAUAUAUAUAUAUAUAUAUAUAUAUAUAUAUAUAUAUAUAUAUGAAUUGAGCUUCUAUGCUUUUAAAAGUACCAAGUUAUUGGUGCUUGUAGGUUUUUAGCCAUUGGAUUAAGAGAUAUGCGAUUAGGAUGAUGUGGGCCCCCUAGGGUUGAGUGGGUGGUUGGUUGAAUAGUAUGAUCUAAUGGUUAAAAAUGAUCCGAGAAGUAGAUCUAACGGUAAAAAACUUACAAGCACUAAGUGCUUGGUGCUUUUACAAGCACCAUAGCAGGAGUCU